GGUUAUCGUGUGGCCAGGAAAUAGAAGACGUGAAAUAGACUUGAAGUCGUCUCUAUAGAGAUGUUAUCCAACAAAGAGGUGAAAACAUCUGAUGAGUGUGUCUGAAAGUGAAUCAGUCUGGAAAGAAUAAAAGAGCCUAGUAGGCUGGGAAGAAGUUCAGAUGCUACCAGGUGAAUAGGCAGAUCUAGGAAGAUUAUAGACACGUCUUAAAGACCUGGUUGCUGGCCUGAUAUCCUCUGAUGGAUGUAGUUUCAAGCGCAUGCUGCUUUAAAAUAAUUUAGCCUUGAUUGCCUGUGGUUGGAAGUGAGUUUUUGGGAAGCGAAAUGUAUUUUCUUUCCUCUUGGGAGCCUUGUGCAGUGCAUCAAAUAGCCUGAAUUAAAGGAAUUGCUUCGGCUUGUGUGUGUUGAUAAAAUUACUAUUUAAAGCAAACAGAGGACUUCAAUUUUUCAGAAGAGGAGGGAAUUAGAGAUAGAAAAUCGGUAAGCUGUGACACCUGCACAGAAUACUUGUUUGAAGUUUAGAAAGGGAAUAAGCUAUGUAAAAACUUUUCUUUUCUUAAGAGAUAUGAGAUAGUGUUCUAUCUCACAUGAGCAGAGACAGGAGUGUGAUGGCAUAGUUAAAUAAUCUGGUAAUGUCCAUGUAGUGUAGUCCAGGAAAGAAAGAGACAUUUCACUGGGAUGUUCACUGUAAGGUGAUUCAGACAAAUGAUGUUGAAAUGUAAGACAAGAGAGACCAAAGAUGACUUCUGUCUCGAGGCUUGAAACUAGCUAGGCGGAGACAAGACUAUUAGGGCGCUCUGAUUAAGCACCAGUUAUAAAUGGGAAAGGCAGUUACCUUGCUACUCUUGAGAAGAGAGAGCUGAGCUCCCAGGACUCUUGAUGAGAAGCACUGAGGCUGAAUAUGCAGAUUUCAGACGUAGCCUCAUUUUAAUCAACCCCCAAGAGAACGCCUAUGGAAUGGAAUCUGGAAGAUGCCGGGGUUGCUGUCUUUAAGCAUAUCAUUCUUGGAUGUGCUGAGAAAAGAGUGGGUCUUUAUUCUGUCUUCCAAAACCCUAUCAUGAGGAGAGAUCUAUAUAUGUUUGGGAAAAACAGAAGAAGGAAAAAAAAUCCCCAAGCUGGAAAACAGAAAGGAUCAAAAUCUCCAAGUGACUGAAAGUCAAUGAAUAUAUGUGAUAGUCAUACAUUCCCUUAACAGUUACCAUAUUCUAUGUAAGGUAGCCUAUCUCAUUUAAGAAGAUACAGUAAUUCCCAUUCUUUAUUCUAGAAUUAAAAGCAUUUAGUCCAUACAAUGUGUCUCAGCGAGGUUGACAUUCACUUGCUUGUACCUGAGAGUGUCGCACCUUAAAGUUUCAUCAAAGAUCCAUGGCAGAGCUGAACUACAAAGGUUCAGAACAAACAAUACCACAGGUAGUCACCUGUCCUCACUUCUUGCAGAGAGAGGGGGAUACUUGAGCUGUGCUAAGGCCUCUUCAGCCUGGAACAGUGUUCCUUGGAAACUUUGGCAAGUUUUCUUGCCCCCUGCCCCCCAAAUCUCCAUAAUCUAAUAUGUCUGGGACUUGCUGGGUUAAAAAAAACAAGUCCCAGUAACAAACUAACAUACAUUCUGGAGUACAGAUGCAGCUUUUUCCAAACUCCCUGGACCUUGUGAGGGAACUGGAACAACCACUGGGUUCCAGGGAACAUGGUUUGAGAAAUGCCAAUCUUAAGUAAAUUUUCUAAAGUAGUGGUUUUCAAACUGCAGUGAGUGUUGAAACACAUGGAAGGCAGGCCAAAAGCACAGAUUCAAGACCCCACUUGAGAGAUCUGGAGUCGAACCAGGUGUUGAACCAUUUCUGAGUCUCCAUGUGAAGCUGAUGGAAAGAAGUCCACACUUGGAAUGGCAUCCUUCUAGAUAAGGACCCAUGCAAACUUCAGCUGCAGGAAGCCUGCUGAUGGCCUCAGGAAAGGCUGUGUAUCCUACAAGCAAUUAAUAGGAGGUCAAAGCAGUCCACUGAUGCCUGAGCAGGUCCUGGCACAGCUCAGGUAGGGGGAGAAGCACUGGGCUCGACUCUGCCUCUGAGCCAACUCACCAGGCAACCAGGCACAGUGCUGCUGCUAAGUCACUUCAGUUGUGUCUGACUCUGUGCGACCCCAGAG
ensembl:lncRNA